rnacentral:lncRNA from 1 species
CUUGGGAUGGAUACCAGAGCAACCAGAGUGCUGCGCCUGGCUGGCUUAUGUCAGGUCUGGCAUCUGGAUUGGCAAGCAGGCUUCGGGGACGUUGGUCUGGGUCAUGUCUGAUUUGAUGUUCUGGCAUUUGGUGUCCGAUGUUUUGGACAGUAGAUGAGCUGAAAAAAAAAAUCGAAGCACGACUGGAACUUUGUCCGAAAAGUCUUGGUGAAAGGAAAGGGCAACAUCCUGCCCAGCCUCCACAUCACAGAAGCUGUUGUCCCUUAAACUUGACACGCAG